CAGCAUAUUGACAAGUCCUUUUAUUGUGGUCUGUUUGUAAGCACCUAGCAUAAGUGACAAUUAUUGUCCUUCUUCCUCUAGCUGGUGGUUCACCUCAUCCCUCUUUCUAGCCUUCCUAGUUGCCUCCUCAAAGGACGUGGCAGUAUUGAUGGGUGUUCAAUAUUAGGUUCAAGAUCAUUUUGAGGAAUAGGAUGUAUGACAUCUGUAUAAACUCUUGAAUAGCACUGCAUAGUGUAAUAUUCAUGGAAAAACUCUUCAAUAUUACCCCUAACAUAUGUAAUUACUCCAGCAGUAUGCUUGCAUGGUAAACCACUUAUAUCCCACCAUCCACAACUGCAUAUCCUUUUAGCUAAACUUAU
rnacentral:lncRNA from 1 species